CUUUAUCCUGUUUCAGUGAACAUAGUUGUUAAGGAGGCUUGCAUAGAAAAAAAGGAAACCAAAAUAUUUAAGGACUGGUUUUAGCAUUAAUUACAUAAUUUAUAAAUUAUCUUACAUAGUUAUGAAUUCUGAACAAUUCUGAAGGGCCUAAUCCACUUAGCCCUUAACUCUGCUAACAUGCAGGUCUACUUAUCUAUAAAGAGAGGCAACAAUUUGAACAUUGCUAUGGACAUCUGUAGACAUCUUUCAGUGGGAAGCUGAAAAAUUUUCACUAUAGGAAGACAUUACCAUUUCUGGCAAUGGUCAGAUCACCAGAUUCCAGGGGGAGGUCAGGUCCAUGCUCUUUCUACUGCAUCCUGCUGACAAGAAGGGAAAGUGUGGGAACUGAUGGAGGUUCAGCAGGCUCUGUUGUCAGCCCAACAAAAGCACCAAAGAAGUUUCCUGGCUGACAUUUUACUACAUCAUCACGUACGGCGAACUGGAUUGUGAAUGCCCUUAGAUGCCAUUGGAAGGGAUUUAGAUUUCACUUUCUAAGUAGGCAAUGCGAGUCCAUUCAGAGAUUGUGAAGUGGAAGAAUAUCAUGAUCAGAUCUGUGUGGCUGAUGAAUAGAGACAAAUCUGAUGUCUGGGGUUAUAUUAUUGAGAUUCAAUAAAUGCUAAUUCUAUACUUACUUAUUGAGUGCCUAAUAUGUGCA
rnacentral:lncRNA from 1 species